UAAAUUGACACAAAAAUGAUUGAUGACAAUAAUGAUUUUUUUUGUCUUAAUUGUGCAGCCCUUUCACCCUUCCACCUUUAGUAUAUAGAAAUAAUUGUAUUGAAUUAUUUGUCUUUUAACCAAAUUUUCUAGCAGGUGUUACAACAAACCCUCAGUUUGUUACACCCUGCUGGAAAAAACAGCUAAUACCAGCUUAAGCUGGUUUAAGCUGGUCCAAGCUGGUCAUUAGCUGGUCCAAGCUGGUUUUUCCAGCAGGGCAAUUAACCAAACCUAUGGGGUAAGUCGUAACGUUUGCACUCCUGUCACUUUCGGUGUAAUUGUACGAUAACGAUGCUCGACUGGAUUGAGAUCUGGAGAAUUUGGAGGCC